rnacentral:rRNA from 1 species
GCCUAACACAUGCAAGUCGAGGGGUAACAGGGAUUGCUUGCAAUCUGCUGACGACCGGCGCACGGGUGCGGAACGCGUAUGGAACCUGCCCCUGUCAGGGGAAUAGCCCAGAGAAAUUUGGAUUAAUGCCCCAUAGUACUAUUUGAUUGCAUGAUUGGAUAGUUAAAGAUUUAUCGGACAGGGAUGGCCAUGCGUACCAUUAGUUAGUUGGUAAGGUAACGGCUUACCAAGGCAGCGAUGGUUAGGGGCCCUGAGAGGGGGAUCCCCCACACUGGUACUGAGACACGGACCAGACUCCUACGGGAGGCAGCAGUGAGGAAUAUUGGACAAUGGUGGGAACACUGAUCCAGCCAUGCCGCGUGCAGGAUGACGGCCCUAUGGGUUGUAAACUGCUUUUAAAUAGGAAGAACUCCACUUACGUGUAAGUGGUUGACGGUACUAUAAGAAUAAGGACCGGCUAACUCCGUGCCAGCAGCCGCGGUAAUACGGAGGGUCCGAGCGUUAUCCGGAAUCAUUGGGUUUAAAGGGUCCGUAGGCGGGCCAAUAAGUCAGAGGUGAAAGGCCACGGCUCAACCGUGGGACUGCCUUUGAUACUGUUGGUCUUGAGUUAUAGUGAGGUUGCCGGAACAUGUGGUGUAGCGGUGAAAUGCAUAGAUAUCACAUAGAACACCGAUCGCGAAGGCAGGUGGCCAACUAUAAACU